AGAGAGAAGCCACACGCUCCCUGCGUCUAUCUCCAAGGGGCUGCCGGAUACCAGGACUUGCAGCGGGAGAACUGAACUGAGCUGGCACUCUGCACGCAUGCCCUGUGCGCUCGUCAUCACCUCUGACAGCCAAGAAGCGCACAGAUUUGACUCCCCUCAGAACAGGGAGUGAAGAGGCUGCGAUGGAUGGAGAGAGCUGCCUGCCUGCCUUCUCCCUGGCAAGAGUCCUUGUUUCCAAUUAAUUCCUCCAGCCCAGAGCUAGCCCUUGGACCACCAAAGAUGGGGGAACGGAUGGCCAGAUUAGGACCCAGGCCUGAAAAUGCACAAUGAGCAGAGGUGACCAGAGAAGUGCUGAUUCCACCUAGUUCCCUUCUGGACACAUUUCACUACCCCCAAAGUCUUUCUGGUUGGAAAAUC